rnacentral:misc_RNA from 1 species
GUCAGACUUAAGCACUAUGUUUGGUAGUUUUAGUUGUAUUAGAAAGAAAAUGAUAGCCUUUAUACCACAGAGAAUCAGAGAAUUUUAAAUUUCUCUUAUUUGGUUGGUUAAUGAUAAAGGAAAGUAAAGGAAAGAUAAUAACUAUUUACCAUUAAAUCCUCAUCCAAAAAUAAGGUGUAAAAGUAAUACCUACGACCUUACCUUAAACUAUCUACCAUCAUAUGAAAGGCAACACGACAGGUUAG